GAAGUCGGAAUUGCUAGUAAUGGCAGGUCAGCAUACUGCCGUGAAUACGUUCCCGGGCCUUGUACACACCGCCCGUCACACCAUGAGAGUUGGAGAUACCCGAAGCCCAUGAGCUAACUUUUAGAGGCAGUAGUCGAAGGUAGAAUCAAUGAUUGGGGUGAAGUCGUAACAAGGUAGC
rnacentral:rRNA from 1 species